GCGAAGGUGGCGGAAUUGGUAGACGCGCUAGCUUCAGGUGUUAGUGUCCUCCGGACGUGAGGGUUCAAGUCCCUCUCUUCGCA
rnacentral:tRNA from 1 species